rnacentral:tRNA from 1 species
UAAGACCUGUGAAAUACUAAUCCACAUCUCAUGAAUGCAACUCAAGCACUUUUAUUAAGCUAAAGCCU